rnacentral:rRNA from 1 species
GGAAUUGUUCGCAAUGGGCGCAAGCCUGACGACGCAACGCCGCGUGGAGGAUGAAGGUCUUCGGAUUGUAAACUCCUGUUGCUCGGGAAGAAUGGCUCCGACCUAACACGUCGGAGUAUGACGGUCCCGGGUGCGGAAGCCCCGGCUAGCUCUGUGCCAGCAGCAGCGGUAAUCCAGAGGGGGCAAGCGUUGUUCGGAAUUACUGGGCGUAAAGGGCGCGUAGGCGGCCUGUUAAGUCGAACGUGAAAUCCCCGAGCUCAACUCGGGAACUGCGUCCGAUACUGGCAGGCUCGAAUCCGGGAGAGGGAUGUGGAAUUCCAGGUGUAGCGGUGAAAUGCGUAGAUAUCUGGAGGAACACCGGUGGCGAAGGCGGCAUCCUGGACCGGCAUUGACGCUGAGGCGCGAAAGCCAGGGGAGCAAA